UACGUAGGGACCGAGCGUUAUCCGGAUUCAUUGGGCGUAAAGAGCUCGUAGGCGGCUAUUCAAGUCGAACGUGAAAUCUCGGGGCUCAACUCCGAGCCUGCGUUCGAUACUGGGUAGCUAGAGUCUGGUAGGGGGAUCUGGAAUUCCUGGUGUAGCGGUGGAAUGCGCAGAUAUCAGGGAGGAACACCUGUGGUGUAGACAGCUUACUGGACCUAACUGACGCUGAGGCACGAAAGCGUGGGUAGCAAACAGG
rnacentral:rRNA from 1 species